AACUGUUGCCUCGGCGGGAUCUCUGCCCCGGGUGCGUCGCAGCCCCGGACCAAGGCGCCCGCCGGAGGACCAACCAAAACUCUUAUUGUAUACCCCCUCGCGGGUUUUUUUAUAAUCUGAGCCUUCUCGGCGCCUCUCGUAGGCGUUUCGAAAAUGAAUCAAAACUUUCAACAACGGAUCUCUUGGUUCUGGCAUCGAUGAAGAACGCAGCGAAAUGCGAUAAGUAAUGUGAAUUGCAGAAUUCAGUGAAUCAUCGAAUCUUUGAACGCACAUUGCGCCCGCCAGUAUUCUGGCGGGCAUGCCUGUCCGAGCGUCAUUUCAACCCUCGAACCCCUCCGGGGGGUCGGCGUUGGGGAUCGGCCCUGCCUUGGCGGUGGCCGUCUCCGAAAUACAGUGGCGGUCUCGCCGCAGCCUCUCCUGCGCAGUAGUUUGCACACUCGCAUCGGGAGCGCGGCGCGUCCACAGCCGUUAAACACCCAACUUCUGAAAUGUUGACCUCGGAUCAGGUAGGAAUACCCGCUGAACUUAAGCAUAUCAAUAAGCGGAGGAA
rnacentral:rRNA from 1 species